UACGUAGGGUGCGAGCGUUGUCCGGAAUUAUUGGGCGUAAAGGGCUCGUAGGCGGUUUGUCGCGUCGGGAGUGAAAACGCCGGGCUUAACUCGGUGCUUGCUUUCGAUACGGGCAGACUGGAGGUAUGCAGGGGGAGAACGGAAUUCCUGGUGUAGCGGUGAAAUGCGCAGAUAUCAGGAGGAACACCGGUGGCGAAGGCGGUUCUCUGGGCAUGUCCUGACGCUGAGGAGCGAAAAGUGUGGGGGAGCGAAACAGGG
rnacentral:rRNA from 1 species